rnacentral:rRNA from 1 species
AUUGAACGCUGGCGGCAGGCCUAACACAUGCAAGUCGAACGGUAACAGGAAGAAGCUUGCUUCUUUGCUGACGAGUGGCGGACGGGUGAGUAAUGUCUGGGAAACUGCCUGAUGGAGGGGGAUAACUACUGGAAACGGUAGCUAAUACCGCAUAACGUCGCAAGACCAAAGAGGGGGACCUUCGGGCCUCUUGCCAUCGGAUGUGCCCAGAUGGGAUUAGCUAGUUGGUGGGGUAACGGCUAACCAAGGCGACGAUCCCUAGCUGGUCUGAGGGGAUGACCAGCAAAACUGGAACUGAGACACAGUCCAGACUCCUACGGGAGGCAGCAGUGGGGAAUAUUGCACAAUGGGCGCAAGCCUGAUGCAGCCAGGCCGCGUGUAUGAAGAAGGCCUUCGGGUUGUAAAGUACUUUCAGCGGGGAGGAAGGGAGUAAAGUUAAUACCUUUGCUCAUUGACGUUACCCGCAGAAGAAGCACCGGCUAACUCCGUGCCAGCAGCCGCCGUAA